UUGCAGGCAGGGAUUUGAUUCUCAAGCCAAGCCAAGCCAAGCCGAGAAGAAGAAGUCUGAGAAGAAGAAUGAAAAAAACUAAAGCCAUUGAUUAUAGCUCGAAUUGAAUUUGGGCAUUGUUUUCCAUUGCCACCACCAAA